UCCGGUGUAGUUUAGUUGGUUAUAACACACCAGCUCCAGGGCCGCGCCAUGUGGCGCAGCCCGCUAUAGUUGGUGUAACCCGCGUUCGAUCCGCGGCGCCGGAC